AGAGUUUGAUCCUGGCUCAGAUUGAACGCUGGCGGCAGGCCUAACACAUGCAAGUCGAGCGGUAGCACAGGGAGCUUGCUCCUGGGUGACGAGCGGCGGACGGGUGAGUAAUGUCUGGGAAACUGCCUGAUGGAGGGGGAUAACUACUGGAAACGGUAGCUAAUACCGCAUAAUGUCGCAAGACCAAAGAGGGGGACCUUAGGGCCUCUUGCCAUCAGAUGUGCCCAGAUGGGAUUAGCUAGUUGGUGAGGUAACGGCUCACCAAGACCAUGAUGCAUAGCCGACCUGAGAGGGUGAUCGGCCACACUGGGACUGAGACACGGCCCAGACUCCUACGGGAGGCAGCAGUAGGGAAUCUUCGGCAAUGGACGAAAGUCUGACCGAGCAACGCCGCGUGAGUGAAGAAGGCCUUCGGGUUGUAAAGUACUUUCAGCGGGGAGGAAGGCGAUAAGGUUAAUAACCUUGUCGAUUGACGUUACCCGCAGAAGAAGCACCGGCUAACUCCGUGCCAGCAGCCGCGGUAAUUC
rnacentral:rRNA from 1 species